GCGAUCAGACGCGGCCUGAGAGAGGACCGGGGAUUUAGCUCAGUGGUUCCGCCGCCUGCCUCACAAGCUCAAGGACCCGAGUUCGAUCCCCGGUACCAAAAAAAAAGAAAAAAGAAACACAGUCUGAGCCGGGAUCGGAAGCACGAAGGCCCCCAAGCCCUACGCGCGGUUUUUCCGUACGCAACUGCGGCUGCGCGGAGCGUGGGGCGGGGAGGGGCAGACGUGCGUUCGGAGCCGGCGAGACCGCGCCUGUCCGCGGGUGUGCUAGAGCGGCGCGCCUGGGUUCGAGUGAGGAAGCCAUGGAGGACGAGAGGAGCUUCUCGGACAUCUGCGGCGGCCGUCUGGCUCUGCAGCGCCGCUACUACUCGCCGUUCUGUCGAGAGUUCUGCGUCAGCUGCCCUCGGCUCUCUUUGCGCUCUCUCACAGCUGUCACUUGCACCGUGUGGCUGGCGGCCUACGGACUCUUCACUCUGUGCGAGAACAGCAUGAUCCUCUCAGCUGCCAUCUUCAUCACUCUCUUAGGCCUGCUUGGUUACCUCCAUUUUGUAAAGAUUGAUCAGGAGACUCUGUUGAUCAUUGAUUCUCUUGGCAUCCAGAUGACGUCAUCUUAUGCUUCAGGCAAAGAAAACACCACCUUCAUAGAGAUGGGCAAAGUCAAAGACAUUGUCAUUAACGAGGCUAUUUACAUGAAGGUGAUUUACUACCUCUGCAUUUUACUGAAGGAUCCACUGGAACCACAUAAGAUAUCUCAAGUAGUACCUGUCUUCCAGAGUGCCAAGCCCCGGCUGGACUGCUUGAUUGAAGUGUACAAGAGCUGCCAAGAAGUUCUGACACACCAGAAAGCCACAUCAACAAACCCAUGAGUUCCCAGCAUUCAGAAGGCCAGUACCAUCUUCCAGGGGAGAUGGCUCCUAAGCUGUAGUGGCUGGUUUGUCUCCACUGCAAACCACCAGGUGGACAUAGUCCUAGGAACCAGAAUGGAUGGAGUGGGUCUCAGAUCACUGUAGAGCAGUAGGAACAACACCUUAAAGCAAAAGAGGUCUGUUGCUGUCUUCAUAACGAAUGAGGAGCACUAUGGAGACUGACUAGUGUUGAGGCAGCAGAACCUGAGCAUAAGAUGAGAGCACCUUAAAGGCCCUAACCGGGGCCUGCAGCAAGAAGACAAGCAGAGCUCUGGUCUGGAGUGGAUCUGAUCACAAGCAUGAAGUCAUCCCUGCAGCCACCAAAGGUUGUCAAUGAAGAGUACGGCAAUCCACACCAAAGUGUUCUCCUUGGAUGACAGCUGGGCAGGCUGCAUAAACAGAACAGUCCCAUCAGGCACAUCCACAGAGAUUCUGAACUGCAUGUACUGGGAUC